rnacentral:rRNA from 1 species
AGCCAUAAGAGCUAUAUUUAUGGUACUUUCUGCUCAAUGAAAUUUAAAUAGCCGCAGUACUUUGACUGUGCAAAGGUAGCAUAAUCGUUUGGCUUUUAAUUGAAGUCUAGUAUGAAUGAACAAUUGGAAAAGUACUGUAUCAAUAGAAGCGCCUAAACUUACUUAUGAGGUGAAAAUUCCUUUAGUUAAAUAAUAGACGAGAAGACCCUUGAAAUUUUUAUAAUAAUUUAAUUUUUUUUUGUUGGGGCGACAAAGUAGCAGAAUAACCUACAUUUAUUAACAUGUCAUUUUUAUAAAGAAAGAAUAAAUUACUCAAGGGAUAACAGCAUAAUUAAAAAUAGUUUGUGACCUCGAUGUUGGAUUAGGGUAAUCUAACCCAGAAGGUAUUGAUUAAUGCUCUGUUCGAGCAAUUUACCCUACGUGAUCUGAG